CACCGCUGCAAGAGGGGAAGUUGCUACUGUGAUGAAUUCUGCCAUGUGGCACCAGACUGCCACCCAGACCACAGUGUCCUCUGCAACCCUGGUCAAAGGUGCCUACAUGCUCCUUCUAGCUUUGUUUCCCUGAUGUUCCUUGCCACCUGCUACUCCUCUCUGAGCUACUUUUCCAGCUUCUCAGAUGACCAAGAUGGUGCUGCAGAUGGUGCUGAGGAUGGAGAACCCACCAAGCCCCGCUAGGAGCCACCUAGACUGGAUGCAGAGCAUGGCCCCAGCACCCGCAGAGCAGACACUGCGAUGACAACGGACGACACAGAAGUGCCCGCUAUGACUCUAGCACCGGGCCACGCCGCUCUGGAAACUCAAACGCUGAGCGCUGAGACCUCUUCUAGGGCCUCAACCCCAGCCGGCCCCAUUCCAGAAGCAGAGACCAGGGGAGCCAAGAGAAUUUCCCCUGCAAGAGAG
ensembl:lncRNA MUC20-OT1 MUC20 overlapping transcript